rnacentral:pre_miRNA from 1 species
CAAUCACCUCCAUUGUUGCUUUUGUGGCUGUUUGAAAGGAAAGCAAUAGGAGGGCAGGUUUGA